rnacentral:rRNA from 1 species
AUUGAACGCUGGCGGCAGGCCUAACACAUGCAAGUCGAACGAGUGGCGGACGGGUGAGUAAUGUCUGGGAAACUGCCCGAUGGAGGGGGAUAACUACUGGAAACGGUAGCUAAUACCGCAUACCAUCGGAUGUGCCCAGAUGGGAUUAGCUAGUAGGUGGGGUAACGGCUCACCUAGGCGACGAUCCCUAGCUGGUCUGAGAGGAUGACCAGCCACACUGGAAAUGAGAACCGGGCCAGAGUCCGAGGGGAGGCAGGAGUGGGGAAUGGUGCAUAAUGGGCGAUAGGCUGAAGCAGCCAUGCGGGGUGUAGGAAGAGGGCCUACGGGUUGUAAAGUACUUUCAGCGAGGAGGCGUUGCUGGCAGAAGAAGCACCGGCUAACUCCGUGCAAGCAGCCGGGGUAAUC